UUGUCUCUGCUUUUGCUUUCCGUUGCUGUGUGAGCACAUUCCGGCUCUGUAGCUCUAAUUCAUUCUAUUAUCCCUAUCGAAUUCGAUGCAUUUAUGUUUAAACCGGUUGUUCAAACAAUUAUUCAGAGUUUCUAGAGCUCCUUGUAAGGCUGAGUGGAAAACCGGUUGCCUUACUUGAUUCCAAUUUGAAGUUGAGUUGUAAUUCAUUGGCGAUUGGUUGAGUUGUAACUAUUAGCUUGCUUGUGUAGUCGGUUGUUGAUAAUUUUACAAGUUGUCCCUUGAAGUUGACAUCAGAUAUGACAGCAACAAUAUUAGUUCUAUGAGUUAGAGAAUUGUUUCUGGCUGCGUCCAAUUGAAUUUAAGCAGUUGUCGGUGGAGAGUUGUGGAAGUUCUGUAUGUCACAGAGAGCGUAAGAUGCUCGACGAAAUGCCUGAUCAAGACUUUUCUAUCUCUACGCUGUUCAUGUAAAGGUUUUACUGUUCGUGCUUGAUGUGGUACUCUGAGGAAUUUGAAGCUCCAAUUGGGUUGUUGCUGUAAGGCUUGGUGACCUGCUGUAACUUUCUUGAUCCUUCAGUCAUGGGCCAAGCUUCAAGAGAUAAGAGGGUCUUGACUACAAUUCUAUUCGGCUAUUUGUCCUUUUGGUUCGUUACCUUUUUCCACGUUUUAUUAUUUACUUUGUCUCGUUUGCAGAAUAUAUACUAUAGUAAAGCAAAAGAAGAAGGCUGGCGUGCUCGAAGUGCGUUCAAACUUCUGAAAAUAGAUGAAGAAUUAACAUAUUUGAAGGUUUGUUCUUGUGUUGGGCUCCUCUCUCUUAAAAUAUUUUUACCUUUCUGCUAGGAUGUCAAUCACUGAGAUGGUCCAGAUGAAUGGUAAUUGGUACUAAAUAUUCCUUUCCAAGAAUACUAAUUUCCUUUGUUUUUUAGGAGUUCUAUGUCCUGGAGAUGUCAUUAUUCCCUCGUGAACAAUGCCGCAAUAUUUUGGAUUAACCUUCCAUAACAGAAUAGUAGCUGGAGCCCCUGGUAGCUGGAGCUAGCUGAAGUUGCUUUUCCCGUAGUGACUUUUGCAAGACCGAAAGGCAGUCGCAAUUCCAGUAUAGCCCAUACGUGGACUGGGUGUGAAUGUUGAGGCAUUUGUAGUUUGUGAGAAUUAUUCGCCUCCUGAGGGUUUCAACCCAUAAGAUCCAACCCCUGCUAGAAAAGGUGGGAAGCCCAUCAGGAGGAGAUGACUUAGAUUGCAGUAGUGGGUGGCUGGGAGGACCCAAUAAAGUAUCCCCUCAGCGGAUAUGAUUCCGAUCGUUCAUACCCACUGCCCAGAGGUGCCGAGGGAACUUUGAUCCUGUGCAACCUCCUAGUGCCCCUCCUUACAACAGGGCUCUUGAAAUGAAGAAGACCUUCCAGUGAAGGAAUUCGAGAACUGAACCUUCCUUGGAUUCCGGAUUGUGCUAUUCAAUGUUAGAUAACCUGCAAAGUUGAUUUGGGAUGGACCGGUGGCCCCCCUGAUUGUGAAUCAACCAACCAUCCUUGCUAAUGGGAAUCUGAGCUAUUCAAAGGCGUGGCCCUCAAAAUUCACAGAUAUCUGCUCGAGCUCAAGGCAUUUAGACAAGAAAAGUUUCGAGCUUCGAAGACUGAAACUCGAUUAUCAUCUGCUACAGCAUCAUCUUACAGAGACGGGCACGCAAAAGAAUGUCUAAAAUAUCGACUAUAUUUUACAUGCGUUCCGGUCCCACGAUUACAGAAC